CUCACAUGAGUAUGACAGGCCUGUGUGAUGAUUACCAUAGCAGAUGGACCACUAUAAAGCAAUAAUACCUUCCAAGUCACUAUCCCAUAUGUCUAUAGAACUGUUGGUAAGUGUUUUAGUGGUCAAUGUCAAGUUACUGUUGCAUCUAUUUAAGUUCUCAUCAUGGAUUUUUCCCAGUGAAGACAUUCCUUGUACACCAUUUAAAACA
rnacentral:lncRNA from 1 species